CAUUUGAUGAGGAGUCCCACAAUAGAACGAAACGGCCGUCCAGUGC
rfam:Schistosoma curassoni strain Dakar, Senegal genome assembly, scaffold: SCTD_scaffold0010147